rnacentral:snRNA from 1 species
UAAUUGGAAACUGAAAUUUUU